rnacentral:rRNA from 1 species
UCCGUAGGGGGCAAUCGUUGUCCGGAUUUACUGGGCGUAAAGCGCGUGUAGGCGGCUACGCAGGUCCGUUGUGAAAACUGGAGGCUUAACCUCCAGACGUCGACGGAAACCGUGUGGCUAGAGUCCGGAAGAGGAGAGUGGAAUUCCUGGUGUAGCGGUGAAAUGCGCAGAUAUCAGGAAGAACACCAAUGGCGAAGGCAGCUCUCUGGGACGGUACUGACGCUGAGACGCGAAAGCGUGGGGAGAGAACAGG